AGACAGGUAAACAGUAUGGGAGUCAUUCCAUAGUUCAAGUGAACUCCUUGACUCUCCCAUUAAAUUUAACCUUUGCCAUACUUAAAAGACUGGACAACGAAAUUAUUCUAGAUGACUCUGUGAACUUGUCUCUUGUUGACCAGCAUCUCAUUCAAAAAAUCUUACUGGCUUCAGAGGAAGUAGAAAAGAACAUUAGAAAGGACUCUGGCAAAAUCAAGAUUAUACUACAGUUGGCAUGUGAUGGCUCACUGUCAUAAUCCCAGCAAUUAGGAGCCAGAGACACGAUUCCUGAAGCAAAUUUCUGUCCAGCAUAGUCUAAUAUAGUGGGUUUCAGGCAAGUCUGAAAAAGUCGAGUCUCAAAUAUAUAUAUUUAUAUGUAUAUAUAUGCAAAUAAAAUUAUGCUAUAAGAUAAAGGAGAAAAAUUCACCCAAGCGUGGUGGUCCACCACUGCAAUCCCAGUACUCAGCACAUGGAGCCAGGUAGACUGGGAGUUUGAAAUGAGCAUAAGCUACUUACCUAAUCCUGUCUUAAAAUAAACAACAAUAACCAAGAAAAAAAGAAAAAUUACACAUUUUCUUUACAAGUAUAGUUACAUAUUCUUUGCAAUGGACACAUAAAGGUCAGUUGCUCUUUCACAAACACUAAUGAGCAAUGGUUCACAUUUAAAUCAGUAAGAAGCUCAAAAGCCCAACAGUCAAGUGGUCCUCUGAAGCUUUUCACUCUAGACCAAGGAUUCCAGUGGGCAAAUGAGGAAAAACUCACAGUUUGUACAAUUCUAACCUAGAAAUAACAAUUUGAGCUGUAACUGACCCUUUCUAUUUCUGUUCACCAGAGAAACAACUGAAAUCAAUUAUCCUGAACUCUAACCUUUCUAUAAAACAAGAAAUGCCAAGACUAAAAACAAGCAGUACAGAAAAUGUCAGAGGAACAAACACUGUGAGAUGACAAGAUGCUCUUGGGAAAAGGCACAAAUGACCAAGAAAUUUCCAUGAACAGCUGAUGUGUAUUCAGGAUCUGGCAAUCACAAAGCCUGCUGUGAAGAGCCUCUGGAGCAGAUACUGAGGGUUAACAAGAAUCCUGGACAUUCAAGUGCAACCCAGCUUGAGCAAUCUCUCCUGAGGCCCUUGACUACUCUCUACCUCAUUCCCUCACAGUGUGGAAGCUGGCUAUCUCCAAAUUGAGACAGCUGCCAUGUCCUCCCUGUGUCCUGUCACCUCUGGCUUCUGUAAGGCUAAACAAGUCCAGUUUCUGCUCCCUGUCUUCAUGUGACCCAGUGCUGGUAUUCCUCACUCUGCUCAGGAUACUCUGCCUGUACUGUUACUUUUCUGACCAAAAGUUAUAGAGUUUAUAGAGGAUAGAGUUUAUUUUGACUUAUGGUUCCAGAUAGAUAAGAGUCCAUCACAGAGGAGAGGCAUGGCAGGAGGAGCAGGAGACUGAGAGAUCACAUCUUCGACUGCAAACAAGCAAAGACAGAGCAAACUGAAAGUGGGGGACUAUGAACCCUCAAAGCCUUUUCACAGUGACAUACUUCCUCCAACAAGCCAGUAUGUUCUAAACCUCCCCAAACAGCACCACCAACUGGAGACCAAGUAGUCAAACGCCUGAGCCUGUGGAAAACACUUCUCAUUCAAACCACCACACUGCCUAAGUCAGGUCAGCCAAUGCUCCUACUAAGGGGAGCCAGCAAGAUCAGGACACAGGUGUUGGGGGACCCUGCUGCUAAGGUUGCAGUCCCCCAUGCCAGAUAGCUCUAAGGAGCU